rnacentral:misc_RNA from 1 species
UCUCCGUUGGUGAACCAGCGGAGGGAUCAUUACUGGAAUCGCAAGAUCCCACAACCCUGUGAACCUACCGAAACGUUGCCUCGGCGGGUGCCCGGCCCCCGCGCCGGGCGCUGCGCCCGCCGGCGGCCCCCUACUCUGUCUCUGCAGCGUGGCAUCUCAGAGUCCCAGAAAACAAGUCAAAACUUUCAACAACGGAUCUCUUGGCUCUA